rnacentral:rRNA from 1 species
UACAGAGGGUGCGAGCGUUGUCCGGAAUCACUGGGCGUAAAGGGCGCGUAGGCGGCCUGAUAAGUGGGGGGUGAAAUCCUGCGGCUUAACCGCAGGGCUGCCUUCUAAACUGUCGGGCUCGAGCACAGUAGAGGCAGGUGGAAUUCCCGGUGUAGCGGUGGAAUGCGUAGAGAUCGGGAAGAACAUCAGUGGCGAAGGCGGCCUGCUGGGCUGUUGCUGACGCUGAGGCG